rnacentral:lncRNA from 1 species
AUGCUUUGAAAAGCUGAGUAAAUAUUUAAUCAUGGAAGCUUUUUAUCUAAAUUUCAUGGUCAACAUAGUUUUAAUUCCCAGGAGCACCUUCAUUUACAAUAUGUAAUAUUAUACAAUAUGUAAUAUGUAAUAGAUAAUGAAGUAAGAAAUAGCCUCAGGGAUCUUAUUAUACACUCAGGCUGCUUGCCCUUUCUCCAUUACAACAUAAUCCUGUACUACAGAGAUAUUAUAAAAUGUCCAAAAUUGCCUCUUUGUUUUCCAUAGAAAGUCAGUUAAGAUGACUUCAUAAAGCAUGCAGUCAGUUCUCCAUGAGCUGGUGACAAAGAGACAGAUUUAAUGGCACUCUUGGCACCCUAUACCAUUGAGGAGAUGAAGAACUUUAUUUCUUUUAGAUGUUCUGGCAAAUUCAUUUGUUUUGAAGACUUUGCUGGAUUUACAUCCCACUCUAUUGACUUCCAGCUCCCUUGGGCUCUAUUUAAGAAACAUAAGGGAGAAAAAUAUGAAAAAAAAAGCAGGAAAAGCCAACUCCCCAAACAGGCAAAUGUGGAAGGGAUUAUUAGCAUUAUGAACAAAUAA